GGAACCAAAUAUCCCUUUUUAGGGCUUGUUUGCUUCGCCGUAAGUGAGAAGGGGGAAGGUAAUUUUCGACGAAAAUUGAUCAAUUUCGCUGUUUGGUUCAUCGUAAUAUUUGUACGAUCGAAAGUUCAGUUUACUCAAAAUACCGAAAUUGACUUCGCUCUCGCGGAGCGAAGUCAAUUUUGGUAAAGUGAAGAGAGGGAGAAAAAAUCAUAAAAUAUUAGUGGAGAAUUUAAUUAAUUACGGUGACUUGUUUAGGGUUUCUCUCUCUCUAAUUGUAUUUUAUCCAAAUAUAUUUAAUUGUGGUAGUAAUUAAAUUUUUUAUUUCGAUUGCAUAUUUAAAAUAUGAUAAAGUUUGAUUAGUUAAGUUUCAAUAUAUCUUUUAUCUAAUUUACACAUUUAAAAUACAACGAAAAUUAGUUUGUUAAAUGUUAAUAAUUCUUUAACUUUAGAGUUUUAUUUGUUGUAUUAUUAUAAUUAUACACAAAAAAAGUAAUAUAAUUAUUUAAAAUUUUAUUUUAUAAAUAUAUAGAAAUAUAAUUAUACUAUUUUUUAUUUAUUUUUUAUAAUUUAUUACAAAAGAGGCAAUAAUGUUAUAUAGGAGGUAAGUUUAUCAGGGCUGUGGGGGAUUAAAUAAUUUUUGAUGAAACAAAUAGAGGAGAUGGAGAAUUACACUUUUUACGUCAAUUUAUUUUCUGCCAAAUAAAUAGUAGAACUGACAUAAUUUCACUUCCACAGCUAUAGAAACAAAUGACGGAGGUGAAGUAAUUUUUACCCGAACUCUAAUUCAAUCUAAAGCUCAUUUCAACCCAAAGGCUAUUUACCUUGAAACAAACCGGCCNAUUUUCUGCCAAAUAAAUAGUAGAACUGACAUAAUUUCACUUCCACAGCUAUAGAAACAAAUGACGGAGGUGAAGUAAUUUUUACCCGAACUCUAAUUCAAUCUAAAGCUCAUUUCAACCCAAAGGCUAUUUACCUUGAAACA
rnacentral:lncRNA from 1 species